UUUAUUAUUUUGGGUUAAUUGCAUACAACUCCCCGUAAACUUAUUGAAUAAUAGAUAUAUUCCUACAAAAUUCAACAUUUUACUUUUAUCCUUGCAAAAGUCCUAUAGUUUACAAAUAUACACUGUUGUUAGGAUCCGUAAGAAAAAUAUAGUUAAUCAUGAGUAAAAUAUUUAAUUCUGAUUAGUAAAUGAGUUAAAUUAAUCUUUUUACCUUUCUUAUAUUAUUGGAUAAAAUACUUUUGGGGAGGAUAUUUCUGCAUAAUUCUUUUGGAGGAAUAUAUUUGUAAGAGCAAAAAUAUUAUUUCACUUAACUGCUGUUAAAAAAUAAAAAGCGCUCCAGCGAUAAUAAAGCAAAGGGGCAAAUAUGAAUAUCACUAAACAUUUAUAGGAAUAAAAAUAAAAAUUAAAUUUUAUGGGGAUAUAUUUGUUAUUCGAUAAGUUUACAUAGAACCUUAUUAUUUUUCAUUUCCUAUUCCAUUGCGGAUCGGAGCGGAACCACUGCCACUCCGAAUCCAUUUGCAUUGCAGCUAAAAUACUAUUUCGCUAUUUUGUAGGGACACAUAUGCAAUUUAACUCGCAAUAAAACCCUCCCCGGGGGACAUGCGCCGUUCCUAAAACCCUCCGCUUCGUGAACCCUCGCUUCCUCUGCGCGAGAUCGUCCCCAGUUCAACAACCUCUUCUUCCUCCUCCUCGGCGACCAUCUCCGCCGCGGCUCCUCGCCGGCGCCGGCCCUCUCCCACCCCACGCCACCGCCGCCUCCUCCUCCGGUGCCCUUGAAAGC
rnacentral:lncRNA from 1 species